UACGAAGGGGGCUAGCGUUGUUCGGAAUUACUGGGCGUAAAGCGCACGUAGGCGGACAUUUAAGUCAGGGGUGAAAUCCCAGAGCUCAACUCUGGAACUGCCUUUGAUACUGGGUGUCUUGAGUAUGGAAGAGGUGAGUGGAAUUCCGAGUGUAGAGGUGAAAUUCGUAGAUAUCAGGAAGAACACCCGUGGCGAAAGCGGCUCUCUGGGACGGUACUGACGCUGAGACGCGAAAGCGUGGGGAGCGAACAGG
rnacentral:rRNA from 1 species